rnacentral:rRNA from 1 species
UACGUAGGGGGCAAGCGUUGUCCGGAAUCAUUGGGCGUAAAGAGCGCGUAGGCGGCCCAGUAAGUCCGCUCUGAAAGUCAGGGGCUCAACCCCUGGAUGCGGGUGGAUACUGCUGGGCUAGAGUCCGGAAGAGGAGAGUGGAAUUCCUGGUGUAGCGGUGAAAUGCGCAGAUAUCAGGAAGAACACCAAUGGCGAAGGCAGCUCUCUGGGACGGUACUGACACUGAGACGCGAAAGCGUGGGGAGCGAACAGG